CCCCGCGGACCUGAAUAGUAACUACUGUACGCUGUGAUAUAGAUUUGCGCGCCCAAAAAACACUGGCUUUAAUUUGUUCCUUUAGAAUCUACCAUGCAACAGGCCUUCGAAAUAAUACGAAAUUAGCUUUUUUGGUGUUAUUUUAUUACUAAGAAUCUCUGCUGGAGUUUCCACAGAAAAGUUCUGGAAGGUAAUUCAAUGCGACGUGGAAAUGAUAAUGCCAAAAAAUUGGAUGCGUCGAUACUUGGUUUUGAAGAUUUCUGACGAAGGAUGAAAUACUGAUGAAACUUUACUCGAAGAAGAAAAAGCUGAAGCACGAUACCGCCGAGAGCGCACGGAUAACACUGUACUUACAGCAGGAUGAUCUUCGCCUAGAGUCUUUUCUCGUAUCGUCAAAGCAUCGUGAAGGAGAUUGGCUGCUUCUUUGUACUUGUUCUGGUCUCUGUGAGAAAGCUUCCAUCUUCUCUGUCAACUUAUCAUGUUGAUUACAAAUAAUACCAGAAAUGACAGACAAAUCUGUCUCCGAGACAGGUCCGUGUGAAGCAACGCUAUCGAAAAACUCCUUGAUUUCUGCGUCAUCUUCGAUAACGUGCCGAAUGGGAUACAUAAGGAAGUUUAUAAUAUCUCCCAGGACAGCCUUUGGGAGGUUCACUGCUGGGUGAACUAUGUUAAAUCUGAUGAAAAAAUAUUGGCGCUAAGUCAUGUGACCAGAGUGACAAAGUUACAAUACAACUGAUGUAAACGAAAAAUGAAUGAAAGUAACUGCUUUUAUUGGAACCUUAUCUUAAUUGUUAUCCCAUUCCUCUUGUUGCGAAAAAGACUCAAAAUAAAAUAAAUGAAUAAAAAGUCACUGUCUUUGAUUGGA